rnacentral:rRNA from 1 species
GCUCUUAGUGGCGCAGCUAACGCAUAUAAGUUGACCGCCUGGGGAGUACGGCCGCAAGGUUAAAACUCAAAUGAAUUGACGGGGGCCCGCAACAAAGCGGUGGAGCAUGUGGUUUAAUUUCGAAGCAACGCGAAGAACCCUUACCAGGCCUUGACAUCCAAUGAACUUUCUAGAGAUAGAUUGGUGCCUUCGGGAACAUUGAGACAGGUGCUGCAUGGCUGUCGUCAGCUCGUGUCGUGAGAUGUUGGGUUAAGUCCCGUAACGAGCGCAACCAUUGUCCUUAGUUACCAGCACGUUAUGGUGGGCACUCUAAGGAGACUGCCGGUGACAAACCGGAGGAAGGUG